GCCCGGCUAGCUCAAUCGGUAGAGCGUGAGACUCUUAUCCAGAGUGCAUCUCAAGGUUGCGGGUUCGACCCCCGCGUUGGGCU